ACUAUGCCCCAUCAACAUAACCUGCAUUAUCCAUCAAGAAACUUCUUCUCAACUCUUUAACACACCCUACACAAUUCAGUUCACUAUACUAACUAAUUUAGCUACUAAAUCAACCAAAAUCCACUCCAAAAACGUGAUUCUGCAGCAAAUUCAUCAUCAGUUCCACUGAAUCAGCAAAGAAAGCUAACCUCGUUGUGGUGAGUCAUG